GACGAACGCUGGCGGCGUGCUUAACACAUGCAAGUCGAACGGAGUGGCGAACGGGUGAGUAACACGGGGGUGAACUGCCUUGCACUUCGGGAUAAGCUUGGGAAACUGGGACUAAUACCGGAUAGUGCAAGAUGAGCUCGCGGCCUAUCAGCUUGUUGGGGGGGUAAUGGCCUACAAAGGCGUCGACGGGUAGCCGGCCUGGGAGGGUGUACGGCCACAUUGGGACUGCGAUACGGCCCAGCCGCCUACGGGAGGCAGCAGUCGCGAAUAUUGCACAAUGGGGGGAAGCCUGAUGCAGCGACGCCGCGUGGGGGAUGAAGGCCUUCGGGUUGUAAACUCCUUUCGCCAGGGACGCGGUACCUGUAUAAGAAGCACCGGCUAACUACGUGCCAGCAGCCGCGGUAAUAC
rnacentral:rRNA from 1 species